CCCACUAGGCAGGAGAAACGGGCAGGACAGAAGACGUGGGCUGUGGGGACAGCUCAUCUGCACCAGGGACGGCUGGGCUGGGUCCCGGAGGUAGGAGGCUGAAGUCUAGAGGUAGGUUAACACAUUCACCCAAAACCCUUGUUUCCCAGUCCGUCUCGAGGAUGCAGCAGUUUUCCUCAUACAAGGAGAGACAAACAGGAGAGCACUUUCCAG